rnacentral:lncRNA from 1 species
AUUCAUAUAUAUAUAAAUAUAUAUAUAUAUGUGUGUGUAUGUACGUAUGUACUGAAGGAUUACAAAGCAUGCUACAAAUUAUACAAUUCAUAUGCAGAAAAAAAAAAUUAUCUGCCGCUAGAUUGCGUCAUUCUGUUUAAUAAGUUGGCAGAAAUAAAUAUCUGUGUUGACAUUUCAUCUUCUCAAGCCUACAUAAGGUUGGGCGCCACACUUGUUUUUCCUGCCGAUCGUGCCCACCAGAAGAUGGCACUGAAGAAAGAAAAUCCUGAUUCACAAACCCGGUCUGUGUUUGUGAACACAAGAUAUGCUUUGGCCAUCGUCGAGGUCCCAGAGGAAAAACUUUAUUCGCAUUCCUGAGGAGCUACAACCCAUUUUUCAGCAGUUCUUAAGUGAAUAAUAAGAACUGGAAUAACACCAACACAACUGCCUUUAUGGUGCAGUUUCCUUUCAAAUUGCAUAAGCAUCAUUCAAGUGAAGAAGUGCAAAUGCAGGCAAGGUCCAGUGACGGUAAGUAUCAGUAAUUAUAAGCAUCAGCACAGAGGGGAAGCUCCAAAAAGGACCUUGAGAGAUCACGAGUCCCUCCUCUUCAUGAAGGAGCAAGGAUAGCUGGAGGUCUGGCCAGCUUUCUAUGGAAUACUAGUGUAGGCUUUCUGGGGAUAGCUCAAAUGCUUUGCUGUGUUUUACAUGCACGUCUCCCACGUGGGAUCCUUGCCUAGGUAAAGACGGAGACGAGGCACGUGGCAUUUGGGUGUUUCCAUCUGAGAGGACAGAAAUAGUCGUAUAUGCCAGUGCAACUGAGAUUUUGGCCUGUUCCAGCAUUUCUGUGAGGUUCACCUGUAAGUCCACGGAUGCCAGAGGAACUGCAGGAGGCAAUAGGAGCUGCACUCAUGUUCUGCUCCAUUGCUUUGCUCUGAGACCCUCCAGGUGUUCCUCCUGACACCCCAGAGCUUGGCAUGCCCGCUGCCUUUCCCCCCUAGAGGCCUCACAGGUGUUCAUGUAAAGGACACUGCAGGUGACCCUGGCAUGAUCCCAGCAAGGUUUUUCUGUUGGGAAGGAGGUGCAUUCCUGCAUGACUGUGAUGAAAAGCUGUCUCUCUGCUCCCACAGGCUCAGCCCACCACCUUUGCGCAGCUCCAGACUCUAUUUCAGGCAGGAAAUAACCCAUAGGGACAAAUGACCUUAAUUAUUAGGACAAAGAUUACUUGUUUAAGUGCAGAAUCUUAGUAUUAAUACAAGAAAUAAUCAAGAUAUGUUGUUGUAAUUAAAUUGAAUCUGUUCUUUCCUCCCUGAAGAGUUCCCUCUCAGUCUAAUUUAUUGUUUAUUUGGUUAAUCAGUAUUAAAGACCCAAAGAAAUGGUG